AUUGAACGCUGGCGGCAUGCUUUACACAUGCAAGUCGGACGAGUGGCGAACGGGUGAGUAACGCAUCGGAACGUACCGAGUAAUGGGGGAUAACUGUCCGAAAGGGCAGCUAAUACCGCAUACUAUUCGAGCGGCCGAUGGCGGAUUAGCUGGUUGGUGGGGUAAAGGCCCACCAAGGCGACGAUCAGUAGCGGGUCUGAGAGGAUGAUGCGCCACACUGGGACUGAGACACGGCCCAGACUCCUACGGGAGGCAGCAGUGGGGAAUUUUGGACAAUGGGCGCAAGCCUGAUCCAGCCAUGCCGCGUGUAUGAAGAAGGCCUUCGGGUUGUAAAGGACUUUUGUCAGGGAGGCGGUACCGGAAGAAUAAGCACCGGCUAACUACGUGCCAGCCGCCGCGGUAAUAC
rnacentral:rRNA from 1 species